CCUGCCGGCGGCUGCUCACUGUUCGUUCCUGUGCAGAAGGCGGAAGAAGCCGCCAAGACGGCGCCGGAGCAGAGGCCUGAAAUCAGCCCCUCCCAGCUGCAGCCCCAGGGCCCCCCCCGGCCAGAAGUCACCUGCUCCUGCCAGUGCUGCCCAUGCAAGUGUCAUUACGUGACGAUAAGCAGCGCAAAACUGCCGCGUAGAUUCUCAGCUGUGCAAUACAUACAACAAUGGUAAUGACCAAGUAACCAGCAGCGCAGGAAUGACUCCUCACCUCGUAACAUGCCUUUAAGCACCAAGGACAUCCAGACAAGUGCAGCUGAAUCCAACACUAUAACGAAGCCAUCAGCAUGAAGAACACAUAGGACCUGCCGGCCACUUCCCAUUAGGGGCUGUAACCCUUAAUGUGUAAUAAACUCUCCACACCCACAGAACAUCAUGAGAGAUGGUCUCUCUUAGGCAAUCAAGAGCACUCUGUAUUUGAACAUAGUCCAUUCGCUUUGCCACAACCUUCCUGCUAAGACAGUUGCAACCAACCAAGGCCUGGUACUUUAUAUGAAAACUAUGCUAAGUUCAGACAAAGAAAGCAGCAUCCUUAAGAAUUGACAUAGAACUUUUAAACUAGUGUCACCUGUCCACACACAAAAAAUUGAUUUGAUAGACAAAAUUCUGAGGGAAGAGACAAUAAAUACAUAGCUAACGGUG